rnacentral:tRNA from 1 species
GGUACUGUGGCUCAGUGGAAGAUCAACUGCUUUGCAUGCAGAAGGCUCUGGGUUCAAUCCCGCCCAUCUCCA